rnacentral:rRNA from 1 species
AGCGAACGCUGGCGGCAGGCUUAACACAUGCAAGUCGAGCGCCCGUAGCAAUACGGGAGCGGCAGACGGGAGAGUAACACGUGGGAACGCGCCCUUCGGUUCGGAAUAACUCAGGGAAACUUGAGCUAAUACCGGAUACGCCCUAACGGGGAAAGAUUUAUCGCCGAAGGAACGGCCCGCGUCGGAUUAGCUAGUUGGUGAGGUAAUGGCUCACCAAGGCGACGAUCCGUAGCUGGUCUGAGAGGAUGACCAGCCUCACUGGGACUGAGACACGGCCCAGACUCCUACGGGAGGCAGCAGUGGGGAAUAUUGGACAAUGGGCGCAAGCCUGAUCCAGCCAUGCCGCGUGGAUGAUGAAGGCCUUAGGGUUGUAAAGUCCUUUUAACGGGGAAGAUAAUGA